UUGUUUUGUUCUCUUUUGUCUUAACUAUUUUAUUUUGUACAAAUUCUAUUUAUCAGAGCUUUCAAGCCAGAUCAUGUCGUGAAGUUUAAAGAUAAUUAUGAUAUUGAUUUUCAUGAAUUCAUCGUGGAGCAACAUACUGUUGAUUUUGUCACGAGUCACUACCUCAUUCACGAUAUCACCAAUGAGGACAAUAAUUUCUAAAGCUGCUCAAUAUCCUUAACAAAUCCCAAAUUAAUAGUCUUUUGCAUAACAAAA
rnacentral:lncRNA from 1 species